GAUGAAGAACGCAGCGAAAUGCGAUAAGUAAUGUGAAUUGCAGAAUUCAGUGAAUCAUCGAAUCUUUGAACGCACAUUGCGCCCGCCAGCAUUCUGGCGGGCAUGCCUGUUCGAGCGUCAUUUCAACCCUCGAGCCCCCCCGGGGGCCUCGGUGUUGGGGGACGGCACACCAGCCGCCCCCGAAAUCCAGUGGCGACCCCGCCGCAGCCUCCCCUGCGUAGUAGCACACACCUCGCACCGGAGCGCGGAGGCGGUCACGCCGUAAAACGCCCAACUUUCUUAGAGUUGACCUCGGAUCAGGUAGGAAUACCCGCUGAACUUAAGCAUAUCAAUAAGCGGAGGA
rnacentral:misc_RNA from 1 species